AACUACAAGAAACCAGCCUGAGUGAAGUAACCCAGUCACAGAAAGAAAAACAUGGUAUGUACUCACUUUUAUAUGGAUAUUAGACAUAGAACAAAGGAUUACCAGCCUACAAUCUAUACUGCCAGAGAACCUAAGAAGGAAGGAGGACCUAAGGAAGAUACAUGGUCCCCCAGAGAAGGGGAAAGGAACAAGUGCUCCUGAAGAAAUUGGGAUCAUGGCAGAGAAGACAGGGGGAAUGAGAGUGGAUUUCAUUGACUCAUUUUCAUAUGUUGAAAAAUGUUGCUGGUUUUCUGAAGGUCUUCAUGUAAAGGAAUGCAAAUAGAUCCACGUUUAUCUUACUGCAAAAAACUCAA